UGGCGAACGGGUGAGUAACGCGUGAGGAACCUGCCUCAAAGAGGGGGACAACAGUUGGAAACGACUGCUAAUACCGCAUAAGCCCACGGGUCGGCAUCGACCUGAGGGAAAAGGAGCAAUCCGCUUUGAGAUGGCCCCGCGUCCGAUUAGCUAGUUGGUGAGGUAACGGCCCACCAAGGCGACGAUCGGUAGCCGGACUGAGAGGUUGAACGGCCACAUUGGGACUGAGACACGGCCCAA
rnacentral:rRNA from 1 species